ACACGUUCCAAACGUACAAACACUCGUGCACCAGUUUGCAGCUCUUGAUCGUGUCUUGUGGUGGUUUUGGUUCUGCACAGUAGUCCGGUGGGCGUUUUCUCUCGAUGCUUAAACCGUUGUUUCCAUCGCGAAAUAACAGUCGUGAGAAAAUGGGAUGAACUCAGAGCCAGAUAUGUAUCUGGUGUGUGAUCAUUAUCAUGCACACAGUACAAUCGCCAUUACUCUACACACUUGAGACUGUAGUUGUUUUUAAAUCCAAUCCCCACUGUAUGUACCCCCCUUUUAUUAACCCUUUGUAAACUUUUGAACUGAUAUUUGUUGUGAGCGCUCUUCAUUGAGCUGCUGACAGCAAGACUUGAUACGAAACUCAAGUA
rnacentral:misc_RNA from 1 species